UACAGAGGUGGCAAGCGUUGUUCGGAAUUACUGGGCGUAAAGGGCGCGUAGGCGGCCUUCUAAGUCAGACGUGAAAUCCCCCGGCUUAACCUGGGAACUGCGUCUGAUACUGGGGGGCUUGAGUAUGGGAGAGGGAUGUAGAAUUCCAGGUGUAGCGGUGAAAUGCGUAGAUAUCUGGAGGAACACCGGUGGCGAAGGCGGCUCUCUGGACGGUGACUGACGCUGAGACGCGAAAGCGUGGGGAGCAAACAGG
rnacentral:rRNA from 1 species